rnacentral:rRNA from 1 species
AGGUUAAGUGAAUAAGGGCGCACGGUGGAUGCCUUGGCACUAGGAGCCGAUGAAGGACGGGACUAACACCGAUAUGCUUUGGGGAGCUGUAAGUAAGCUAUGAUCCAGAGAUUUCCGAAUGGGGGAACCCAAUAUCUUUUAUAGGAUAUUACUUUUCAGUGAAUACAUAGCUGAUUAGAGGUAGACGCAGAGAACUGAAACAUCUUAGUACCUGCAGGAAGAGAAAGAAAAUUCGAUUCCCUGAGUAGCGGCGAGCGAAACGGGAAGAGCCCAAACCAACAAGCUUGCUUGUUGGGGUUGUAGGACUCCAAUAUGGUAGUCUGUUAGUAUAGUUGAAGGAUUUGGAAAAUUCCGCUAAAGAGGGUGAAAGCCCCGUAGACGAAAUGCUAACAACACCUAGGAGAAUCCUGAGUACGGCGGAACACGAGAAAUUCCGUCGGAAUCCGCGGGGACCAUCCCGCAAGGCUAAAUACUCCCUAGUGACCGAUAGUGAACCAGUACCGUGAGGGAAAGGUGAAAAGCACCCCGGAA